UACAACAGGGUAUGGAUUCCUGAUCCUGAAGAAGUUUGGAAGUCUGCUGAAAUAGCAAAGGACUACAGAGUUGGUGACAGAGUCCUGCGACUCUUGCUGGAGGAUGGAAUGGAGCUGGAUUAUUCCAUUGAUCCAGAAUCUCUGCCUCCGCUUCGGAACCCUGACAUCCUCGUGGGUGAGAAUGACCUCACAGCCCUCAGCUAUCUCCACGAGCCUGCGGUGCUCCACAAUCUCAGAAUCCGCUUUGCAGAAUCCAAACUCAUUUACACCUACAGUGGAAUCAUUUUGGUGGCCAUGAAUCCGUACAAGCAGUUGCCGAUCUA